rnacentral:rRNA from 1 species
UUGGACCUGAUAUCAGGCAAGAUUACCCGCUGAACUUAAGCAUAUCAAAGCCGGGAGGAA